AACAGUUAAGUGCUUGUUUUAUUCCUAGUAAGAGCAACAUGCUCAAAUGCAUCUCUCCAAAACUGGAGGAAAGAACAAAUAUCUAUUGGUAUACAUCAAAAUUACACACAAGAACACAUGACACAGCCUACCAGAGAAAACAUACAUACAAAAGAGAACUGCUGACUUGAACCCAACAUGAGACUUGAAGGGCAGCAUGGCCUAAGAAAUCAGCUCUGACGGAGUCCCUGAACCCGAGGUGACAACUCAAGUCUGCAAGUCUUUGUCCAGUGCUCUGGACUGGACACUAAUUACUCCAUGGGCUAAGAUGUUAGAAUGGCCUAAAAAAAACCCCAAACAAACCCAAAACCAAACCAAAACAACCAACCAACCAACCAAAAAACCCCUAACCCCAAAAGCAGAACGAUUUUAUGCCUCUCAACAGUCCUGACAGCAGGUCUGAAACACAGCAGCAGGGAAUUCACCGAUGAUUCUUCACAGGGGUAAGAAAACAGCAGGACUUCUCAGACCUGCAGCUCUGGGUGUUGCAAUCUGGCAUUUUUAUGCAAACUUCUGUUUUUCAGACUGAGAAUAGCCCUUUAAACAUUGCUUAGAGAGCUAAGCUGAAUCCAAACCUGCCUUGAAAGAGCUGAGGUUACUUAGAUUACCGUAGUCUUUCAAAAAGCUUGCAUGACAUUUCCCUCGGUCAUUAGUGGGUCAUUAGCUGAGGCCCAUUAUGAGAUGGGGAACAGGAAGAGAAGGGCACGUUAGUAGUCAAUGAUUGAGCAGUUAAAAAGCAAUAAACACUUCCAGCCUUAUACAAAUUGUUCAGACUGCAAAACUGGGAGAUUAGCUCAGCACUGUUAAAGCCAAUCCCACAACAGUGCCUAUUCCCAGCUGGCCAGACCAGUUUUUAAAAAGCAAACUUAAGUCAUGCUUUCCACCAACCUUCACUACUACACCUGCAUAUUUCACUGGGAGGAUGUGAGGAAUAUCCCUCUGAAGCUGCAAGGGAAAUUUUUCUUUCACGUUAAUUAGAGUCUGUCUCAGAACAGCAGAGUUAUGGAUUUUUACUUAUUUGUAAACUAAAACUGGAGCUCUCUCAAAGGCCAGCAGUGCGUAGGUCUCAUCUAAAAAGCUUUGCAGGUGCAGCAGCCUAGAGACAAUGUGAAGUUUUAUUUGUUCCAAAAUAGCUUUUGGAACAGAACAAAAUACCCAAGAGCAAUUCUGCUAGAAAUUUGUUUCUUCUCUUUUCCCCACUAAUACUUUGGGCUUGGUUUGGGCUUGAGGGAACUGGAAGAGAU
rnacentral:lncRNA from 1 species